rnacentral:rRNA from 1 species
GAUGAACGCUGGCGGCGUGCCUAAUACAUGCAAGUCGAGCGAACAGAUGAGGAGCUUGCUCCUCUGACGUUAGCGGCGGACGGGUGAGUAACACGUGGAUAACCUACCUAUAAGACUGGGAUAACUUAGGGAAACCGGAGCUAAUACCGGAUAAUAUAUUGAACCGCAUGGUUCAAUAGUGAAAGACGGUUUUGCUGUCACUUAUAGAUGGAUCCGCGCCGCAUUAGCUAGUUGGUAAGGUAACGGCUUACCAAGGCAACGAUGCGUAGCCGACCUGAGAGGGUGAUCGGCCACACUGGAACUGAGACACGGUCCAGACUCCUACGGGAGGCAGCAGUAGGGAAUCUUCCGCAAUGGGCGAAAGCCUGACGGAGCAACGCCGCGUGAGUGAUGAAGGUCUUCGGAUCGUAAAACUCUGCUAUUAGGGAAGAACAAAUGUGUAAGUAACUAUGCACGUCUUGACGGUACCUAAUCAGAAAGCCACGGCUAACUACGUG